AUGAAGUCAUAUCUUAUUUGGCUCUUGAAAGAACAUGAUGUCCCAAGAUAUCGAACACAAAAUGCAUGGAGCAAAGAGGCUUGGAGAAGUAUUGUGAAUGCAUUCAAUAUAAAGUUUGGUUUAUCACUCACAGUAACGCAGAUAAAACAAAAGGAGCAGGAUCCGAAGAAAGAUUUUAAAGCUAUACAAGACUUGAUAUCUGAAAGUGGUUUCGGUUGGGAUCGUGAUAGAAUGAUGGUGGUUGCUCCGGACAGUGUUUGGGAAGCAUUAAAGGCCCGUGAGAAAAAAGAUGCCCUCCGAUGGCAAGACAAGUCAUUCCCAUACUAUAAUGAUCUAUUUGCUCUAUAUGAUGGGCGCUAUGCUCAAGGAAGGAGUUGUCGUGGCAUGGAUUAUUAUGCAAACAAGGCCAGAGAACUCUCUCAGGUCACUACAUCAUAUUCGCAACAGUUGGAAGGUCCCGAGGAGCAUCAUCGCUCACCUACACCGAACUUACCUGCUCCUAUGGAAUCAUGCAUGCAUAUUGAUACUGAAGAGGACAAUGGAAGCACUAAUUGGUUCUGCACCGAUGAUCCAUUACACCUAGAAGCUGUGAACUCAACUCAAGUGAAAGAUUCUGCAUUACAUGUUCAAUCAGAAGAUGCAAUACCAACACCAUUUUCUUCAAAGCAAACCCCACAUAUGUCGAUGGAACUUCCAGAAGACAUACGUAGAAAUUGUCAACCAUCUCAUUCUGCUCCUGAGCUUACUAGUGCUAAGAGGGGGAAAAGACAGAAGACUAAUUCUAGUAUUGAUGAUUUUCACGAGAGGUACCUG
rnacentral:rRNA from 1 species